rnacentral:rRNA from 1 species
UAGGGAAUAUUGGGCAAUGGACGCAAGUCUGACCCAGCCAUGCCGCGUGCAGGAUGAAGGCGCUCAGCGUUGUAAACUGCUUUUAUCUGGGAAGAAAAGUAUUCUUGCGGGAGUACGUGACGGUACCAGAGGAAUAAGCACCGGCUAACUCCGUGCCAGCAGCCGCGGUAAUACGGAGGGUGCAAGCGUUGUCCGGAUUUAUUGGGUUUAAAGGGUGCGUAGGUGGUCCUGUAAGUCUGGUUUGAAAGCUAGCUGCUCAACAGUUAGAUGUGGCUGGAAACUGUGGGACUUGAAUGAGUUGGCGGUAGCCGGAACGGGUCAUGUAGCGGUGAAAUGCAUAGAUAUGACCCAGAACCCCGAUUGCGAAGGCAGGCUACUACGACUUGAUUGACACUGAGGCACGAGAGCAUGGGGAGCGAACAG